rnacentral:rRNA from 1 species
GACGAACGCUGGCGGCGUGCUUAACACAUGCAAGUCGAACGGGCCUUGUCCCCUUUUUUUUGGGGGGUGGGGUUAGUGGCGAACGGGUGAGUAACACGUGAGUAACCUGCCCCUCACUUCUGGAUAACCGCUUGAAAGGGUGGCUAAUACGGGGUGUUCUGGCCUGCUCGCAUGGGUGGGUUUGGAAAGAUUCGACCGGUUUUGGUUGUUUUGGUGGGGGAUGGGCUCGCGGCCUAUCAGCUUGUUGGUGGGGUGAUGGCCUGCCAAGGCUUUGACGGGUAGCCGGCCUGAGAGGGUGGGCGGUCACACUGGGACUGAGACACGGCCCAGACUCCUACGGGAGGCAGCAGUGGGGAAUAUUGCACAAUGGGCGCAAGCCUGAUGCAGCGACGCCGCGUGAGGGAUGGAGGCCUUCGGGUUGUGAACCUCUUUCGCCAGUGAAGAAGGUCCUGCUCUUUGUGGUGGGGUUGACGGUAGCUGGGUUAAUGAAGCGCCGGCUAACUACGUG